rnacentral:lncRNA from 1 species
AGCCAUUCCUGGAUGCCUCCUUAGAGAAAAAGGGGGAGUGUUUACUCAAAAGAGGCUGAAGGAUUUACUGAAAGGACUACUUAAAUUACUUAGAUAAACCCUAAGUUUAUACCAGCUGAAAAGAAUUCAUGUGCACUGUCUCAUUCCUCCCUAACCCCUCCAUUAAUCCUUCCUCUAAAAUCUUGGACACCAGGGCAUUUGGGCACAGAAGAAAGGCCAUACUUUCUUUCCAGCACAGAAGUGUGGUCUGAACGAAACUUCACAAGACCACUAUAUCAGCCUGCACUCAGCCAAAACAGAGUUGAGAAGAAUAAUUCAGUGUUCCCUCUGUUCUCCCACACAUCCUUGCCUAGUUUUCACAGUCUGUGGUUGAAAUGUCUGCAAAGAAGCAAGGACACAACUUCACCAAAUAAAACGUUCUUUCAUUCAUCCUUCA